GCUUCUUAGAGGGACUAUCGCCGUUUAGGCGACGGAAGUUUGAGGCAAUAACAGGUCUGUGAUGCCCUUAGAUGUUCUGGGCCGCACGCCAGCUACACUGAUGUAUUCAACGAGUAUAUAGCCUUGGCCGACAGGCCCGGGUAAUCUUGGGAAAUUUCAUCGUGAUGGGGAUAGAUCAUUGCAAUUGUUGGUCUUCAACGAGGAAUGCCUAGUAAGCGCGAGUCA
rnacentral:ncRNA from 1 species